rnacentral:rRNA from 1 species
NAAACUUUCAACAACGGAUCUCUUGGUUCUGGCAUCGAUGAAGAACGCAGCGAAAUGCGAUAAGUAAUGUGAAUUGCAGAAUUCAGUGAAUCAUCGAAUCUUUGAACGCACCUUGCGCCCUCCGGUAUCCCGGUGUGCAUGCCUGUUCGAGCGUCAAAU